rnacentral:rRNA from 1 species
GCACCCGCACAAGCGGUGGAGCAUGCCGUUUAAUUCGACGCUACGCGAAGAACCUUACCUAGGCUUGACAUCCUCAGCAAAGCUAUAGAAAUAUAGUGGAGGUUAUCUGAGUGACAGGUGGUGCAUGGUUGUCGUCAGCUCGUGUCGUGAGAUGUUCGGUUAAGUCCGCUAACGAGCGCAACCCUUAUCUUUAGUUGCUAACAUUUAGUUGAGAACUCUAAAGAGACUGCCGAUAAUAAAUCGGAGGAAGAUGGGGAUGAGGUCAAAUCAUCAUGCCCCUUAUGUCUAGGGCAACAGGCGUGCUACAAUGGCUGGUACAAAGAGUCGCAAUACCGCGAGGUUGAGCCAAUCUCUAAAUCCAGUCUCAGUUCGGAUUGAAGUCUGCAACUCGACUUCAUGAAGUUGAAAUCGCUAGUAAUCCCGGAUCAGAAUGCCGGGGUGAAUACGUUCUCGGGUGUU